GGCGAAGAAUAUUUCAAGUGCAACAAUGCGAGCGUAACGUUUGUUCAGUUGGUAGCGCGCAAUGGUAUGUUUACAGUGUGACAGGCAUUCUAUGUUAGUAUUUCUGUGUCUGUAGUAAAAUAACAGGUAAACUUCUUCGAGAUGUAUGCCAUUACGGUGGAUGACCGACUUCAGUUGAAAGUGUUAGAUCCAGAUAAAGAUGUCGAGGAGUCAUUUGCAGUUUUGCAGAAGAAUAUGCCAUAUGUGGAAGUGUUUUUACCCUGGAUGAACGAUAGAACAAUAGAAAAAGAUAAAAAGGAUAUGCAAGAUGCUCUGGAUAAAUUCAACAAUGGUCUCGGAUCGGAAAUGGGAAUAUUUGAGAAAGAAGUUGCAGCAGAAUAUGAAAACAAAAACUCGUGGAAGUUCAUAGGAUGGUGCGGAAUAAUAAGAGUCAAAAAAGAAAACCCACGAGACGCAUAUGCAGAAUUAUCGUACUGGUUGGACAAGGAUUACUGGGGGCAAGGAAUCGUUACAAAAUGCAUGCAAAAUCUCAUUGAAUUUGCUUUCACGAAUUUGGAAUUAAAUAAACUGCAGCUCACGACGGAUAGUCGCAAUCAAAAAAGCUUAGCAGUUGCAAGACGAUUGAACUUUAAACUCACAGACAUAAAGGUCACUAAGAAGUUGUGCCCAGAAGAAGAUUUAUCAAAACUGGAGGUUCACAUGUUAGAUAAAAAUGAUUGGUUAUUACAAUGAGGGUGUAUCAAAAAUGCAAUGUCCCAUGAGUCAAAUUUUGAAUAAAUCAGUCCAAAAAUACAUUAGAUUGGAAUAUGGCUAGGGCUGGGCAUUUUGAAUCGAAUAGUGAAUUAUUCGAAUCGGUUCAGACUGAAAUUUCGAAUCGCCGCCAUAUCGCGCCAAAGAUCGGGGUGAAUUCCGCAAUUUGUUUUUAUUGAAGCCAUAUUUUUACGAUGGAUUUCUGACAUUUCUUUCUAUUGAGUUACUGAUAAAACAAGUUUUUUAUUGUAUGUGAACGCUCAGCACAUUGACUGAGGAGUUGGAUUCCAUGUUUUCAGUAUUUUUUGCAAUCAUAAAAGUCACAUAAAACACAUCAAGUAUUCACGAUUCGAUUCUGAAAUCAUCAAGUAUUCGAAAACGCCCAGCCCAAAUUAUGGCAACUGGUGAAACUUCAAUUUAUUCGAAACUUUUGUGACGAAAAUUAUUCUCAGACGGGUUGCAAUUCAAGCAAACAAUGAGAAGCUAAUGGAACUAAAUCCCUUAUUCCACGCCAAACCAAACAAACAUUGGUGUUUGCUAUGUCCAGUAAUCAACUAAAGCAACGUUUAAUCAAUCGUAUCACAAUUUAUGAUUUCACCUUUGUGACAUGCGGUAAUAAUAUGUUUCAUGAUAGUAGAGAAAAACCUUUUUUAAAAUGUUUAAGGUAUGAUGCUACUUAUGGUAUCAUUACUAUAAAUUCCUACAAUAUUAUGAGAAUUGGCUCACGGCAAAUAUGCGAUGAUAACAAUAUGGCGCAACAAAGACAGAGUAAAUACGUUUUGCAUGGUCAGUUACGACUUUAGACAUAUAGUACAAAAUUUCCGUUUGUUUUUCCAGUCAGUAACGCGCGGCGGAACGUUUGCAACAUAUCUGUCAUUCUGUGGUUGGUAUCUAUUUGCAAAGCGUAUUUGGUACUUCGAUAUGUAUACCAUUACAGUAAAUGAGCGACUAAAAUUGAAAAUUUUAAAUCCAGAUGAAGAUGUCGAGGAAUCUUUCGCAGUCUUGCAGAAAAAUAUGCCACAUUUGGAAGUAUUUAUACCCUGGAUGAAGAAAAGAACACUUGAAAAUGACAAAAAGAUUAUGCUAGAAGCUUUGGAUAAAUUCAGCAAUGGCCUCGGAUUGGAAAUGGGAAUAUUUGAGGAAGAAGUUGCAAAUGAGGGAGAAAAUAAAAACUUGUGGCGGUUCAUUGGCUGGUGUGGCAUAAUAAGGGUCAACAAAAAAAUCCACAAGACGCCUUUGCAGAACUAGGGUACUGGUUGGAAAAAGACCACUGGGGGCAAGGUAUCAUAUCAAAAUGCUCACAGAAACUCAUAGAAUUUGCUUUCACAGAUUUAAAAUUGGACAAACUGAAGCUUGUGACUGAUAAUCGUAAUGGAAAAAGCUUAUCAGUUGCAGGACGGUUGAAAUUCAAACUCACAGAUGAAAAGAUUACUGACCAGAUGUGCCCAGAAGAAGAUUUAUCUAAACUGGUUGUUUACGCAUUGAACAAAAGUGAUUGGUUAUUAUCACAAUAAAUAUUUUUGAACACAAAUGCUAUUCCACAUUUUGAACAAAUCAACACCAAAAAUAACUUUGAUAUCUAUACCUAGGGGUUCUCAAGGGGUAAAUUUACCAAUUGGGAUUUCAUUUGACUUGCCUUGAGUGUUAGUUUUGCAAGCAUGAGAUCCACGCUUCUCUGUUUUACACGCAGACGCUACCAGUUUUGUAUUAGGACACGUGAGCUAUAUUAGAAUUGCAACAUCCUUUGUGGAUUAAUAGAGAAGCUGUGGGGCCCAGCGCCAUUGAUUUUACUUCCGAACUCUGUCAAGAGAUAAACGAGAGAAUUAAGGUUGAGAACUCCUGUAUUAUUUCAAAGUGAUUCAUUGGAUAUACCCUGUAAUUUUAGCUAUGACUUUGCUAGCACGAAUCUGUCCACACAUCAUAAAUAUAUAUAUGACUAAAUUUUCAAUAGCUUACCCUUUAAUGUUCAUAAUCUAAUGUCACUAGCUUAAGGUUGGUUUCCAAAAAAUGAGGCGUGGAAUUGAUUUACAAGAAAUUCAUAUGUUCAGAAUGGUAAAAACUUCUCUGGUGACAUUUUAAUUAAUAAAGACAAUUAUGAGCAUAUAUGCAUUUUAAAAUAUAUUCAGUCAACGAAUAAUGCCAUUAGAUAUUAAAUUGCGGGAUCAGUAUAUCAUUUUAUUUAAAUUGAUGAAAUAUGCAGAAUUUCUAUAGAGAAAAAUGCGAAACGAAUGGUCAAGAAGAAGAAAGUCCAUAUUGUGGACCAGCAUAAUACCGUACAGAGUAGUGCAUUCAGAGGCGCUCCAGAAGUAUGUGUACCAAUAGGGAGGAAACUAAUUUUGUUCGCCUACUUUACAUCAAGUUGUGUAAAGGGACUGAAGCCUAUAAGCAAGGGAUAUAUUUACUUGGCUAACACGGACAGUCCCCGAACUUGUAAUAGAACUAAAAUAGGGAAAAUCGGAAUAAAAUUAUUGCCUAACCCGGUACACACACUACGGGAGUAUCCAUUCAUAACAUUAGCGCUCAGGUAAAAGUGCUUAAAGUGACGUCAGAAGUCAGAAUGCCCUUUGAGGUUGCGGAGUAGACGAUGGCAUCGUGAAACACACGCCAAUAGAGAUCAUCAAAAUAUAGCCACUAUAUCUUCUGCAACAACAUUUAAUUUGACGGCGGGCGUUACUUUAUUGCCGAAAUGAAAGAAUAAUCAAAAUCACCAGUUAGGACCUAAUAUAUAUAAGUGAAUAAAAAGCAAUAUGGGUGUCUAAUGAACCCGAAUUAUGUUUCCUAAUUUUUUAUUUUCCGGGAGUUCGAGACAUUAAAAGCAUUGGGAUAUUGAGCAUCGGCUGUUUUCAAGUCUCACAACAUCAGAAUAUGAUCUGAUAUAUCAACAUCAAACGGUAUUGACUGAAACAUGACCAGGGUAAGAUUUUAUAAACAACCCCCUAUGGGAAAAAUGAUUUUCCGAAUUCCGCAUUUCAAAACAAUUGUUUUUAAACAUAACUAUUUUAAACAAUUUUUGGUAUUAAAUAAGUUGGGGAAUAGUAACAGGAUGGCUAGCGAUAUUCAUCUCUAAUUAAUAAAUACGCGCUAUGAGCAGGACUGAUGUAGAUUGUCCUUGUAUUCAUUUCUGAAAUUGAGUGGGUAUACAGUAAUGAAAAACGGAAAUUAUUGGUGUAAAAUUGACAUAUUGGUUGGCACACGCACGUCCUCAAGGGACUCUAAUUCAACUUCCCAUAUAUUGUUAUCCGUUAACGGCAAUAAUUCGAAUUAGCGUUAGAAAUUAAAUCGAUCCGCUUUAAUUUUAUUUUUUCGCGGUCGAGAGAGAAACGUUGCAUUGUUACAAAACAGUGUCGGGUUGGGUGGCAUUCAGUAGAAGGUUAUGUAUGUUUUAACCAUGCACUGGUAUGUUAGGGAAAUAGCCCGAAUGUGGUUAAACCGAACUUGCCGAUUUAUUAGAUUAUAGGAAAAUCGAUGAAAAAAAUCAGUCAAAUUGUAAAACAACCCUGCUUUAUAUAUUUCAAAAUUAAGCCUGUGAUUCUGGGAAACUGUACAAUACAAAUAGGAGAGUGUUUAAUAAUGCGGUUGUGUAGUCUGCAGCAAAUGUAUUAAUUGAUUAUCAUAAUUGCAUCCCGUUUCAUAACAUCACAUUUCAGCAUUCCACUGUUUUAUUGGCAUACAAUCGUUAUUUAUUACAUGCAAAUGUCGCGAGAUUUUUUAACUCUGGUUUUCUUUCGCUUUCCUCUGGCAACCAAUGCUCCAUCCACUGCAGCCAGAAACGCCGUUUGUACAUUGAAGCCAUAUUUUGCUGAACAGUCCAAAUAAGUAUGCUUCCAAGAUUUUUUGAUCGUGUUGACGGUAUUUUUGUACCAAGUUAUUUGACUUUCGUAAAUGUAGCCAUUGUCAACAUUUUGUGUCUUUU